GAAACGACUGCUAAGACUGGAUAGGAAGAUAAAAGGCAUCUUUUAUCUUUUAAAAGACCUAGUAAUAGGUAUGCUUUAGGAGGGGCUUGCGCCAUAUUAGUUAGUUGGUAGGGUAAUGGCCUACCAAGACGAUGACGUGUAGCUGGACUGAGAGGUUGAACAGCCACAUUGGGACUGAGACACGGCCCAAACUCCUACGGGAGGCAGCAGUAGGGAAUUUUCGGCAAUGGAGGAAACUCUGACCGAGCAACGCCGCGUGAAUGACGAAGUACUUCGGUAUGUAAAGUUCUUUUAUCAAGGAAGAAAAGCAAAUGGCGAACCAUUUGUUUGCCGGUACUUGAUGAAUAAGCCCCGGCUAAUUAUGUGCCAGCAGCCGCGGUAAGACAUAAGGGGCAAGUGUUAUCCGGAAUUAUUGGGCGUAAAGGGUGCGUAGGCGGUCUAGUAAGUCAGUGGUGUAAUGGCAACGCUUAACGUUGUCCGGCUAUUGAAACUGCUAAACUUGAGUUAGAUAGAGGCGAGUGGAAUUCCAUGUGUAGCGGUAAAAUGCGUAAAUAUAUGGAGGAACACCAGAGGCGUAGGCGGCUCGCUGGGUCUUAACUGACGCUGAGGCACGAAAGCGUGGGGAGCAAACAGGAUUAGAUACCCUGGUAGUCCACGCCGUAAACGAUGAGUACUAAGUGUCGGGUUAAACCGGUACUGAGGUUAACACAUUAAGUACUCCGCCUGAGUAGUACGUACGCAAGUAUGAAACUUAAAGGAAUUGACGGGACUCCGCACAAGCGGUGGAUCAUGUUGUUUAAUUCGAAGAUACCCGAAAAACCUUACCAGGUCUUGACAUGUUUUUGCAAAAUGAUAGUAAUAUCGUGGAGGUUACCAGAAACACAGGUGGUGCAUGGUUGUCGUCAGCUCGUGUCGUGAGAUGUUAGGUUAAGUCCUAAAACGAGCGAAACCCUUAUCGUUAGUUGCCAGCACGUUAUGGUGGGGACUUUAACGAGACUGCCAAUGAUAAAUUGGAGGAAGGUGAGGAUCACGUCAAAUCAGCAUGCCCCUUAUGACCUGGGCUACAAACGUGAUACAAUGGCUGUUACAAAGGGUAGCUGAAACGCAAGUUCUUGGCCAAUCCCCAAAAACAGUCCCAGUCCGGAUUGAAGUCUGCAACUCGACUUCAUGAAGUUGGAAUCGCUAGUAAUCGCGAAUCAGCAUGUCGCGGUGAAUACGUUCUCGGGUUUGUACACACCGCCCGUCA
rnacentral:rRNA from 1 species